AUAACAUAUGCAAAAAUACGGAGGAGAUCGAAAAGAUAUUAUGAAUUUCACUUUCUUAUUCGUUUAACGAAGAUUAUUGGGAAAGCAUCGUCCAUCCAGAUUGUUUAGCGAUUCACAAUCCUAUUUUUAUAGAGUAAGUAACUAGUUGAUGAAUAUAGCUGGUUCUCCGUAGCAAUCAAUUAUAAUUCAGUUGCUAAUUGAAUAUUUUUCUACAGAAUUUUGUACAGGUCCUAUGUAUACAAUUGCUAGCUAAAUACGCUAAAAAUAUUUUGUCCUCAAGUAUAUGAUCCAAAUCAAUUGUGUCGGCCGACAAACUAAAAACGCUCGUUAGCU
rnacentral:lncRNA from 1 species